AAUAGCUGCCUGGACCCUGUCAGAUUUAGCAUUCAGUUCAAGAACAAGCAGUGAGAAGUUUACCAUUUUGCUUUUGAGGGCCUGAGGAAGUUGAUGGAUCUUCUAUGUUGGCAGCGAGGCAUCCAGUCUUGAUUUGAAGACAUUAAGCAAUGGAUUGUCCACCACUUCCUGUGGUAGUUUGUUCCAGUGGAUCAUCACCCUCACUGUUAAAAAGGUCAGCUGCUGAUUUUCUAUAUGAUCUUGGUUACUGAGGUUAUAUAAACAUGCAAGAUUGUGAAUGGAGUCACAGACAGGGAAUGAAUCAGCCUGAACAGCUCUUGGGAGGCACAUCUGGCAGAGAGACUGCUGCUGCUGACAUGAACGCUCAAGUCUGAUCCCACUGCUCCCAGGAUGAAACAGGUGAAACUGAUGUGAAAGAGCAGAAGACAGCUUGAAGCACAAGGAGAAAUUGUCUUUUUCUAUGAAAUAUUUCUGUGAACUGAGGGAAAAGGGGGGCUUGGAUAAGAUUUUUUUUUUACAGGAGGGACCGGUGAGCUGACUUUU